rnacentral:lncRNA from 1 species
UUGUUCUUCUUCAUAUACUAUAGGCUGUUUGCUGUGGUUUAGUCAAAAAGCCAUGUAGAAUGCCUGCCUUUUGAAGACCACUUUUAAGGUGUCUAGUAAGACAGCAGUAUUGAAAGUUUUUAAAGAAUAUAACCGUGUGUGUUGGUAACAGACAGAAGAAUGGAAGCAUUCCAGGAACUUCGUAAACCAUCAGCACGUUUGGAGUGUGACCAUUGCAGUUUCAGAGGCACAGACUAUGAAAAUGUACAAAUCCAUAUGGGUACCAUCCAUCCAGAAUUUUGUGAUGAAAUGGAUGCUGGUGGGCUAGGCAAAAUGAUAUUUUACCAGAAAAGUGCAAAGUUAUUUCACUGCCAUAAAUGCUUCUUCACCAGCAAGAUGUACUCUAAUGUAUACUAUCACAUCACAUCCAAACAUGCAUCCCCAGACAAAUGGAAUGAUAAACCAAAAAAUCAGUUGAACAAAGAAACAGAUCCUGUGAAAAGCCCUCCUCUUCCUGAACACCAGAAAAUACCCUGCAAUUCAGCAGAACCAAAAUCCAUACCUGCCCUUUCAAUGGAAACACAGAAACUUGGUUCAGUUUUGUCUCCAGAAUCGCC